GGGGGAGUGUCGGAACUGGCAGACGAGCGUGAUUUAGGAUCACGUGGAGCAAUCCGUGUGGGUUCGAGUCCCACCUUCCCCAUCA
rnacentral:tRNA from 1 species